UACGUAGGGUGCAGGCGUUAAUCGGAAUUACUGGGCGUAAAGCGCGCGCAGGCGGUCUGCUAAGAGAGGUGUGAAAUCCCCGGGCUUAACCUGGGAACUGCGCUUCUACUGGCAGGCUUGAGUGUGGCAGAGGGGGGUGGAAUUCCACGUGUAGCAGUGAAAUGCGUAGAGAUGUGGAGGAACACCGAUGGCGAAGGCAGCCCCCUGGGCUAACACUGACGCUCAUGCACGAAAGCGUGGGGAGCAAACAGG
rnacentral:rRNA from 1 species